AUCGACGGAUGCAAUGAAAAGUUAAUGAAGGUUUCCUGCGCUCAGGGAGCCAGCGAUGGAGGGGUCUGUCCGAGCAGCGUGUGUGGAGAGAAGGUGACCUGCCACGGCCAAGGGCUGGCAAUGACAGCACCGGUGUCAAAUGUUAGAGCAGAGACAGCCUGCUCUGGGCUCACGCCAGCUCUGCUGCAGCUUUCCAAGAUUGGAUUCGGAGCCUGAGGGAGUCUKCGGAGCCCUCUGGG
rnacentral:lncRNA from 1 species